AGUUUGUAUUCAGUGUUUAAUUCUUAAAGUCUUUAAUUCACAGCUAAAUCAACCAAUCAUGUUGAAACAUUUUUUAGUUUUUGAAUUGUGCUUUGUAACAAUUUUCGCUCAACGUAUCUUUGCAGAUAGGGUUUGUGAAAAUAUGUUCCGUAGCCGUGAGAUCCAACCUGCUGAUACUUUUCCGUACAAUUUGAAAGUUUCCGGAUAUGACUACAAUCCUAACACCACGAUUACCGUAUCGAUUGACGGAGAUGAUUUCCAAGGCUUUUAUGUCCGUGCAUUUGAUCAAACUUCCAAUGAACCUUUGGGAUCCUGGACUUAUCCACCAUCUUUACUUGUAGUGGAUGAAGAAAAGGAUAAAUGCAAAGGAGUCUUACAUUUCAGUUUUGAAGAAAAACAAUCCGUUGAACUUAAAUGGAUUUCCCCUCAAGAAGGAAAUGGAAAAGUUUUUUUCUCCUUCUUUGUGAUGAAGAACUUUUCUACCUGUUGGCCCGAAGUCAUCUUGAAGGAAAACAAAGAAGAAAAUCAGAAAGCUUAGACGCUUCCUUGGACAUUUUUUUAAAAAUAAAAUUAACAUUCUAUAAAUAAAAUAUUAUUUGCUUGUCUUGCUCAGCUAAACGGGAAAAUCUGCGGGAAAACCCGAAAAGGACAUUAUCUUUGUUACUCAAAUAUUCCUUGGCAUGAAAUCACUGAAAUGGAAUUAUUGCUAUUUGCGAUAAACUUUAUCAUGUUAAACGUUUAAUUUAAUGAUGGGAUUUCCAAUAAAUGUUUGAAUUAAGAUGCUGAUUAAAAUAAUGAAGAGGACUAUAUAAGGAAGAUGGAUUUGCAAAUUGUCUCAGUUCUUACCCAGUGUUUGAUUCUCCAAGUUCUGAAUUAAAAGAAAAUCUUCAAUCA